GCCCAGAUGGUCACAUCAGCAUGUGCCUGUAGCUCCCACUACUGAGGAGGCUGAGGCAGGAGGAUCACUUGAGGCCAGGAGUUCUGGAUGUAGUGCAUAGUACUUAUUUUGUAUCCACGCUAAAUGAGACAUCAAUACGAUGACCUCUCUGAAGUGUGGACCACAUGUUGGUGGGGUGAACUGAGUGAACUGGCCCAGUCAGAAACAUAGCAGGAAAAAACUCCCAUGGUGAUUUGGAGUGGGGUUAAGCCUAUGAAUAGCCACUGAGCUCCAGCCUGGGCAACAAAUCAAGACCCUGUCUUAU
rnacentral:SRP_RNA from 1 species